UAAUUCCAGUAAUUAAUAUGAAACUUAAUUCUUUCAUUAAAAUUUGACAGAUGAAAAAUAAUAUGUUGAACAAUUAGUUUUUCACUCUUUAUUGUCAGAACACUCGCCUUUGCAUACAAAAAAUCAGCUCUUGUACAAUACAUUCCCUAAUCACACAAGUUAAAAAAAAAACUUAGAUUAAAGAAAAAGAUAAAGAACAAACUUGUGGAACUGUACAUCUGAUUGCCAAUCUUCAUUACCUGGUUUUGACUGUACUAUAUAUAGCUUUUCCACCUUCUGCAGCAUCAACAUCUGAGAAAUUAUAACACAAAAGCAAGUGGAUAAUGGUAGUAAGCUUCUCGACUUUUGAAGCAAAUUAAAUUAAGUAAAUCAUGAAUAAAUUGCAUACUCCAAAGAACAGGUUAGAAACAGAUAAUGUCAGAUGCAAAGCUCCAAAUAUUGAAAAAAAAAAUUAUUGAAUGAUGGAAGAAGAAGAGUGCAGGCAUUCUCAAGUGCUCAAAAAUGAAGACAGAGCUCAUGUAAGGUACAAAGUUGAGUGCAUAUAUUUUCAAUGACAAAUUACAUGGUAUGGUGGCAGAAAUAGAAGAUUGAAACACUUACGUUUAUGAUGGUUUUAAAUGAAGCCUUGAGCAAUGUUUUGCUCUCUUCUUAUCCCAAUCCUUCUUAGUUCUUUUAGGUGCGAGGCUAUUUCUUGAAUGAAUCGAAGUCCCUCUUCUCCAUUUCUGAUUGAGUUGAUGCUGUGCUCAAGAAAAUCCUUGUCUGCCUCAAGAACUUUUAACCUUUCAUUCAGGUCAGAAACCUCAGCUGCAAGAGAAUCCAGAUCGAUCCCCUGACGAGGUAGAGGAGAGGUAUGCCCACCAUAGAA
rnacentral:misc_RNA from 1 species